rnacentral:rRNA from 1 species
CCUACGGGUGGCAGCAGUGGGGAAUAUUGCACAAUGGGGGAAACCCUGAUGCAGCGACGCCGCGUGAGUGAAGAAGUAUUUCGGUACGUAAAGCUCUAUCAGCAGGGAAGAAAAUGACGGUACCUGACUAAGAAGCCCCGGCUAACUACGUGCCAGCAGCCGCGGUAAUACGUAGGGGGCAAGCGUUAUCCGGAAUCACUGGGUGUAAAGGGUGCGUAGACGGCUGAGCAAGCCUGAAGUGAAAGGCGGGGGCCCAACCCCCGGACUGCUUUGGGAACUGUACGGCUGGAGUGCAGGAGAGGUAAGUGGAAUUCCUAGUGUAGCGGUGAAAUGCGUAGAUAUUAGGAGGAACACCAGUGGCGAAGGCGGCUUACUGGACUGUAACUGACGUUGAGGCUCGAAAGCGUGGGGAGCAAACAGGAUUAGAUACCCGGGUAGUC